rnacentral:rRNA from 2 species
UUAAAUUGAAGAGUUUGAUCAUGGCUCAGAUUGAACGCUGGCGGCAGGCCUAACACAUGCAAGUCGAACGGUAACAGGAAGCAGCUUGCUGCUUCGCUGACGAGUGGCGGACGGGUGAGUAAUGUCUGGGAAACUGCCUGAUGGAGGGGGAUAACUACUGGAAA